CUCCUCCACAAGGGUUGGGCCACCGGCUUCAGGUGUUACCGACUUUCAUGACUUGACGGGCGGUGUGUACAAGACCCGGGAACGUAUUCACCGCAGCGUUGCUGAUCUGCGAUUACUAGCGACUCCGACUUCAUGAGGUCGAGUUGCAGACCUCAAUCCGAACUGGGACCGGCUUUUUGGGAUUCGCUCCACCUCACGGUAUUGCAGCCCUUUGUACCGGCCAUUGUAGCAUGCGUGAAGCCCAAGACAUAAGGGGCAUGAUGAUUUGACGUCAUCCCCACCUUCCUCCGAGUUGACCCCGGCAGUAUCCCAUGAGUUCCCACCAUUACGUGCUGGCAACAUAGAACGAGGGUUGCGCUCGUUGCGGGACUUAACCCAACAUCUCACGACACGAGCUGACGACAACCAUGCACCACCUGUUCACCAGUGUCCAAAGAGUCCCGUAUUUCUACGGUGUUCUGGUGUAUGUCAAGCCUUGGUAAGGUUCUUCGCGUUGCAUCGAAUUAAUCCGCAUGCUCCGCCGCUUGUGCGGGUCCCCGUCAAUUCCUUUGAGUUUUAGCCUUGCGGCCGUACUCCCCAGGCGGGGAACUUAAUGCGUUAGCUGCGUCACGGAAACCGUGGAAUGGUCCCCACAACUAGUUCCCAACGUUUACGGGGUGGACUACCAGGGUAUCUAAGCCUGUUUGCUCCCCACCCUUUCGCUCCUCAGCGUCAGUUACGGCCCAGAGAUCUGCCUUCGCCAUCGGUGUUCCUCCUGAUAUCUGCGCAUUCCACCGCUACACCAGGAAUUCCAAUCUCCCCUACCGCACUCUAGUCUGCCCGUACCCACUGCAGGCCCGAGGUUGAGCCUCGGGAUUUCACAGCAGACGCGACAAACCGCCUACGAGCUCUUUACGCCCAAUAAUUCCGGAUAACGCUUGCGCCCUACGUAUUACCGCGGCUGCUGGCACGUAGUUAGCCGGCGCUUUUUCUGCAGGUACCGUCACUCUCGCUUCUUCCCUGCUAAAAGAGGUUUACAACCCGAAGGCCGUCAUCCCUCACGCGGCGUUGCUGCAUCAGGCUUCCGCCCAUUGUGCAAUAUUCCCCACUGCUGCCUCCCGUAGG
rnacentral:rRNA from 1 species